rnacentral:lncRNA from 1 species
CCCGCCAAGCCUCACCCAACCCCGGGUGAGUAGUACGAAAACUCUAGGUGCCCCUAUCCUACUACCCUGAUACUAGACCUCCAGACUUUCCUAUCAAGGGCCAUGUCCUGGGAAACCCGCAUUCUAGCGAUGUCAUGCCUAAUCACCUCUCCCCAAUACCUCUUAGGCCUCCCUCUGCCUCGCCGAACGCCGACAAUCGCCAGCCGCUCACAACUCCUCACCGNN